rnacentral:tRNA from 1 species
GGAGCGGUGUCCGAGUGGUCGAUGGUGACGGUCUUGAAAACCGUUGAACCGAAAGGUUCCGGGAGUUCGAAUCUCCCCUGCUCCGC